UACGAAGGGUGCAAGCGUUAAUCGGAAUUACUGGGCGUAAAGGGUGCGUAGGCGGUUCGUUAAGUCUGUCGUGAAAUCCCCGGGCUCAACCUGGGAAUGGCGAUGGAUACUGGCGAGCUAGAGUGUGUCAGAGGAUGGUGGAAUUCCCGGUGUAGCGGUGAAAUGCGUAGAGAUCGGGAGGAACAUCAGUGGCGAAGGCGGCCAUCUGGGACAACACUGACGCUGAAGCACGAAAGCGUGGGGAGCAAACGGG
rnacentral:rRNA from 1 species